rnacentral:rRNA from 1 species
ACGGAAGGCAGCAGUGGGGAAUAUUGCACAAUGGGCGCAAGCCUGAUGCAGCGAUGCCGCGUGAGGGAAGAAGGUUUUCGGAUUGUAAACCUCUGUCAACGGGGACGAAAAUGACGGUACCUGUGAAGGAAGCUCCGGCUAACUACGUGCCAGCAGCCGCGGUAAUACGUAGGGAGCAAGCGUUAUCCGGAAUUACUGGGUGUAAAGGGAGUGUAGGCGGGACUGUAAGUCAGAUGUGAAAUAUGCCGGCUCAACUGGCAGACUGCAUUUGAAACUGCGGUUCUUGAGUGAAGUAGAGGUAAGCGGAAUUCCUAGUGUAGCGGUGAAAUGCGUGGAUAUUAGGAGGAACAUCAGUGGCGAAGGCGGCUUACUGGGCUUUAACUGACGCUGAGGCUCGAAAGCGUGGGGAGCAAACAGGAUUAGAUACCCUGGUA